UCCCUGGUGGUCUAGUGGUUAGGACUUGGCACUUUUACUGCCACAGCCCGGACUCGAUUCCCGGUCAGGGAA